rnacentral:rRNA from 1 species
AGGAUGAGACUGCGUCUGAUUAGGUAGUUGGUGGGGUAACGGCCCACCAAGCCCAUCAUCAGUACGGGUUGUGGGAGCAAGAUCCCGGAGAUGGAUUCUGAGACAUGAAUCCAGGCCCUACGGGGCGCAGCAGGCGCGCAAACUUUACAAUGCGAGCAAUCGUGAUAAGGAAACCCUGAGUGCCUGUUGAUGCAGGCUGUUCAUUAGUUUAAAUUGCUAGUGAAGAAAGGGCAGGGCAAGACCGGUGCCAGCCGCCGCGGUAAUACCGGCUGCUCGAGUGAUGGCCACUAUUACUGGGUUUAAAGCGUCCGUAGCUUGAUUGUUAGGUCUCUUGGGAAAUCGUCAGGCUUAACCUUAAGGCGUCUAAGAGAUACCGGCAAUCUUGGGACUGGGAGAGGUAAACCGUACUUCGGGGGUAGGAGUGAAAUCUUGUAAUCCUCGAGGGACGACCUAUGGCGAAGGCAGUUUACCAGAACAGCUUCGACAGUGAGGGACGAAAGCUGGGGGAGCAAACGGGAUUAGAUACCCCGGUAGUCCCAGCCGUAAACAAUGUGCGUUAGGUGUAUCGGCAACCACGCGUUACUGAUGCGCCGCAGAGAAAUCGUGAAAUGCACCACCUGGGAAGUAUGGUCGCAAGGCUGAAACUUAAAGGAAUUGGCGGGGGAGCACCACAACAGGUGGAGCCUGCGGUUUAAUUGGAUU